rfam:Trichobilharzia regenti genome assembly, scaffold: TRE_scaffold0002235
CUACUGAUGAGGAGUCUCAAACUAGGACGAAACAGCUGUCCAGUAC